ensembl:lncRNA
GUUUAAAUAUCUUAGCCCUGUGCUGACAUCUCCACCUGGACCCCUCUGCACGGCGCCUGACCCAGAGCACCAGAGCCGGACCCUGGGACUUGCCCUGCUCUUCUCUCUCUCUCUCUCUGCCUGUCUCUCUCUCUUUCUCUGUCUCUCUCUCUCUCUGCCCCACAUUCACCCAAUCACCAGAUCCUAGGGAGUCCACCCUCCUAGACUCUGUUGUGUCUUCCGUCCCACAUCUUCACCGACUCCCGCCAGGUUCCGGUUGUGCUGCCACUGCCGCGUCACCAGCCGUCCUGCCUCUCUGGUCCCUCCUCACCCAAACUCUGCUGGAAGGUGCUGUUCAACAUGACCAAGAUGCCAUCGCAGAAGAACUCUUGUCACAGUGGAUUCCUACCCAAAUUUACCGCCAGGAAAAAGUUAUUGGUUUUCGGGGUUUUUUUUGGUCUUGAGGGGAAGUUCUGAGGCGGCUGCUUGCUGCUGGCGGGAAGAAGAAAGCAGAGGACCUGCUGGAAUUGGGUUACGCAUGCGGCUGUCUCCCUGCACGCGGCAGCCGCACGCGCGGCGUCCGUGGACCCUGUAGCUCCCUUGGUGUCUUGGGAGGAACUUGUGGCGUUUUGCACCCACACCAGCCCUGCUCCCUGGAAGAGGAGGCGGAGCUGUGGUGAGGUUCCCAGGCCGCUGAACGGGGGGAGCACAGAGCCUCGCCCUGUGGAGGCCCAGCCUGUGCUGGGUACCAAGAGACGAGCGAUGGAUGGACACGGACGCCCAUGUCCACGUGGGCGGUAGCUGGCGGGGAGGGGGACCUGGCUUGCACAGCGCAUCCCUGGGUGCCGUGCUGGUGCAGCCCCUCCCAGGGUGCCCAGCCGCCCAAAGCCCAGGUCCUCACCUCCUCAUGGCGGGAGAGCGGGUCUCUGGGGAUGAGGGGACCCUCACAUUAGGCGGACACGCGGAGCGAUCGGCCACCGGUGGAAAUGCGCCUCCCACCUUGACGCUGAGGCUGCUCGGUUCUCAGCCAGAGAGAGGCCGGGUCCCCACUAGUGCCCGGUCCUCUGCCGGUGUGGCUCUCAGCUCAGGUUGCUGCUGUCUGCCAAGCUGAGCCCAGAAGUGUGGACCCAAACUUGACGCCCCCUUUCCCUCGUUCUUCCCGUCUGCUCGGCUUCAACCACGGAUGGAUCCUGCCUCCCGUGCCUCCUGGGCUGGGGCUUCAUCACGACUCCACUUCCCCGUCUUCUUCACGUGGGUGCUCACUGACUCUUGCUCGCGUCAUUGGGAUAGCCUCUAAUCUUGUGACCCACCAACCCCCUGGGACUGUGGACAGGAGCCACGUCUCACAGUAUCACCUCUCCCCUCCCGCUAUCCAGCCCUGUCCCGGGGCUGAGCCUGGGGCCUGGCACGUGGUCACCCAGAAAAGUGAAGAUCAACAGCCGCGGCUACCCAGCCCACGAUGGAAACCCCACUGAGGCCGAGUUCUCUGGAAGGGCCUCCGAGCGCCCCGCAGGCUGCACCCGGAGAUGCUGGAGACAUCUGUCACCCUCUGGCUUCCCAGAAAACCGAACAGCACAGGCCGUUUCCCGUGGGUCUGAGUGAAAUUGUCACUGUGGCUGCUUCCUCGCAUCCCCCUUUUAUCAGCGUCUUUGUAGCUUUAUCCCUCGUUUCUCUCUGUGAUUUCUGGACGAGGUGCCACUCAGCUGGUUGUAUGCUAAAGCUGCUUCCAACCCUUCCCCUUAGAGCUGUUAUGACGGGAUUAAGGGCUUUCUCUCCUUUCACACAAUCAUUCAUUAAAAUGCUUUUUUG